rnacentral:rRNA from 1 species
AUUGAACGCUGGCGGAAUGCUUUACACAUGCAAGUCGAACGGUAACAGGUCUUCGGAUGCUGACGAGUGGCGAACGGGUGAGUAAUAUAUCGGAACGUGCCCAGUCGUGGGGGAUAACGUAGCGAAAGUUACGCUAAUACCGCAUACGAUCUAUGGAUGAAAGCGGGGGAUCGCAAGACCUCGCGCGAUUGGAGCGGCCGAUAUCAGAUUAGGUAGUUGGUGGGGUAAAGGCCCGCCAAGCCAACGAUCUGCAGCUGGUCUGAGAGGACGACCAGCCACACUGGAACUGAGACACGGUCCAGACUCCUACGGGAGGCAGCAGUGGGGAAUUUUGGACAAUGGACGCAAGUCUGAUCCAGCCAUUCCGCGUGCAGGAUGAAGGCCCUCGGGUUGUAAACUGCUUUUGUACGGAACGAAAAGGUCUCUCCUAAUACGAGGGGCUCAUGACGGUACCGUAAGAAUAAGCACCGGCUAACUACGUGCCAGCAGCCGCCGUAAUAC